rnacentral:rRNA from 1 species
UACGUAGGUGGCAAGCGUUGUCCGGAAUUACUGGGUGUAAAGCGCGUGUAGGCGGCAGACCAAGUCGGCGGUGAAAGCGCCCGGCUCAACUGGGCGAGGUCCGUGGAAACUGGUCAGCUGGAGGACGGUAGAGGCGAGUGGAAUUCCCGGUGUAGUGGUGAAAUGCGUAGAGAUCAGGAGGAACACCUGUGGCGAAGGCGGCUCGCUGGGCCGGUCCUGACGCUGAGACGCGAAGGCGUGGGGAGCGAACGGG